rnacentral:hammerhead_ribozyme from 1 species
AUCCGGCUGAAAAGUCCCAAAUAGGAUGAAACACGCGUCCUGGAU